rnacentral:misc_RNA from 1 species
UCCGAGUUGACCCCGGCAGUCUCCCAUGAGUCCCCGGCAUAACCCGCUGGCAACAUGGAACGAGGGUUGCGCUCGUUGCGGGACUUAACCCAACAUCUCACGACACGAGCUGACGACAGCCAUGCACCACCUGCACACCAACCACAAGGGAACGCCUAUCUCUAGACGCGUCUGGCGCAUGUCAAACCCAGGUAAGGUGGGGAUGACGUCACACAGACUAUAC